ACCUCACCCACUAUCAUACAAACUCGGAUACAACAACUUGUGAUGCUGUAAUUAACACAGUAUAGGAGAAUAUUAAGAUUGAGCUCUGAAUUGACACAUUUGGAAGAUCACUAAGUAGCUACGAAUGAACCUGAAGGAAGUUCUUCAUCAUGGUGAUGUAUCCUCAUGUCUGCUCUUCAUUCCUUCAAUCAAAGAACUACCUAUAUAUAAAGAGAACAAGUAGUUUUAGUUAGUUUCACUUUCCCUAACUUGAAAAAAUCUAAAAUUCAACAUACUCCAUCAAGACAUUAGCAUUUACACCCCCUCCAUCUUGAUCUCUUAAAAGCACUUAACCUAGUGAAACAAUAAAAUUACAUUAUUCCUACAUUAGGAUCCUCUAUAAUCCAAUUCUUGCAAUAAACAGAAUCACUCGUUUAACAUACUUGACUUCUAUUAUCAAUAAACAGAAUCACUGGUUUAACAUACUUGACUUCUAUUAAGAGCCCUUUUGAUUGAUAAAGAAAUAAUACAUUUACACUAAGAAUAACAGAAAAUAUCUUGGAUAAAGAAGGAGGGAUCCAAUGGAUUGACAACCAACAUGAAGUUAAUUGAUUUAUGAUGAACCCACACAAAAUGGUAUUACAUUAACAAUUGACACAUAACGAGAUUGAACUAGGAAUGCAAAAACAAGUACAAGCCAUAAUAAUAUGAGAUACAUACAGGUUACUCAUGCCCAGUAUUUUGGUCUUCUAAGUUCAACACCCAAAGUAACAUCAAUAGAACUACAGAAGUGUAGAAGAUUACAAGCAAAGUGAUACUUAGUCCUUCUGGGAAUAGAUAUCCUCUAUUCACAAUUACUCAUUGUAUGAAAUACAGUUGUACAGUAUGCAAAUGAGCUGGAGCAGACCAAUACCUAUGUUAAUGUUCCUCGAAUUUCUAGAAGGAAUACGAGUGAAAAAAUGUAGGUACAUUAGGAACUUGAAUAUCAUAUUUUGCAUAAGUGCGCGAAGUCUCAAGUUCACCGCAUAAAACUGUAAAAGUACACUCUAUUGAUUCACUAGCCUGACUUCGGCAGCAGAGAUCAAGAAAAUAUUUAGCCUAGUAAUUGAACAUUUUAGUUUUAUAUGAAUAAAUGUAGUUUCAAUUAACUACUAAGUUUAGUUGUUUACCUUCAAAUAGGAGAUCAAAAAUCGAACUCCACAA
rnacentral:lncRNA from 1 species